GAAGUUGAUGAUGAUAUUAUCUGAACUUUGCUUGAUUUCCUCUUGGAAAGUGAAGGCAACUCUAGUCACUACCUCUUCUGAGACAC